GCGUGCUAAUACAUGCAAGUCGAACGAGUUCUCGUUGAUGAUCGGUGCUUGCACCGAGAUUCAACAUGGAACGAGUGGCGGACGGGUGAGUAACACGUGGGUAACCUGCCCUUAAGUGGGGGAUAACAUUUGGAAACAGAUGCUAAUACCGCAUAGAUCCAAGAACCGCAUGGUUCUUGGCUGAAAGAUGGCGUAAGCUAUCGCUUUUGGAUGGACCCGCGGCGUAUUAGCUAGUUGGUGAGGUAAUGGCUCACCAAGGCGAUGAUACGUAGCCGAACUGAGAGGUUGAUCGGCCACAUUGGGACUGAGACACGGCCCAAACUCCUACGGGAGGCAGCAGUAGGGAAUCUUCCACAAUGGACGCAAGUCUGAUGGAGCAACGCCGCGUGAGUGAAGAAGGCUUUCGGGUCGUAAAACUCUGUUGUUGGAGAAGAAUGGUCGGCAGAGUAACUGUUGUCGGCGUGACGGUAUCCAACCAGAAAGCCACGGCUAACUACGUGCCAGCAGCCGCGGUAAUACGUAGGUGGCAAGCGUUAUCCGGAUUUAUUGGGCGUAAAGCGAGCGCAGGCGGUUUUUUAAGUCUGAUGUGAAAGCCCUCGGCUUAACCGAGGAAGCGCAUCGGAAACUGGGAAACUUGAGUGCAGAAGAGGACAGUGGAACUCCAUGUGUAGCGGUGAAAUGCGUAGAUAUAUGGAAGAACACCAGUGGCGAAGGCGGCUGUCUGGUCUGUAACUGACGCUGAGGCUCGAAAGCAUGGGUAGCGAACAGGAUUAGAUACCCUGGUAGUCCAUGCCGUAAACGAUGAAUGCUAGGUGUUGGAGGGUUUCCGCCCUUCAGUGCCGCAGCUAACGCAUUAAGCAUUCCGCCUGGGGAGUACGACCGCAAGGUUGAAACUCAAAGGAAUUGACGGGGGCCCGCACAAGCGGUGGAGCAUGUGGUUUAAUUCGAAGCAACGCGAAGAACCUUACCAGGUCUUGACAUCUUUUGAUCACCUGAGAGAUCAGGUUUCCCCUUCGGGGGCAAAAUGACAGGUGGUGCAUGGUUGUCGUCAGCUCGUGUCGUGAGAUGUUGGGUUAAGUCCCGCAACGAGCGCAACCCUUAUGACUAGUUGCCAGCAUUUAGUUGGGCACUCUAGUAAGACUGCCGGUGACAAACCGGAGGAAGGUGGGGAUGACGUCAAAUCAUCAUGCCCCUUAUGACCUGGGCUACACACGUGCUACAAUGGAUGGUACAACGAGUUGCGAGACCGCGAGGUCAAGCUAAUCUCUUAAAGCCAUUCUCAGUUCGGACUGUAGGCUGCAACUCGCCUACACGAAGUCGGAAUCGCUAGUAAUCGCGGAUCAGCACGCCGCGGUGAAUACGUUCCCGGGCCUUGUACACACCGCCCGUCACACCAUGAGAGUUUGUAACACCCGAAGCCGGUGGCGUAACCCUUUUAGGGAGCGAGCCGUCUAAGGUG
rnacentral:rRNA from 4 species